CAGCAGCCGCGGGAAUACGAAGGGGGCUAGCGUUGUUCGGAAUUACUGGGCGUAAAGCGCACGUAGGCGGCUUGGUAAGUUAGAGGUGAAAGCCUGGAGCUCAACUCCAGAAUUGCCUUUAAGACUGCCGAGCUAGUAGGUGAGAGAGGUAAGUGGAAUUCCGAGUGUAGAGGUGAGAUUCGUAGAUAUUCGGAAGAACACCAGUGGCGAAGGCGGCUUACUGGCUCAUUCUAGACGCUGAGGUGCGAAAGCGUGGGGAGCAAACAGGAUUAGAUACCCCCGUAGUCCCUGUCUCUUAUAC
rnacentral:rRNA from 1 species